rnacentral:rRNA from 1 species
CACGUAGUUAGCCGGGGCUUCUUAGUCAGGUACCGUCAUUCUCUUCCCUGCUGAUAGAGCUUUACAUACCGAAAUACUUCUUCACUCACGCGGCGUUGCUGCAUCAGGGUUUCCCCCAUUGUGCAAUAUUCCCCACUGCUGCCUCCCGUAGGAGUUUGGGCCGUGUCUCAGUUCCAAUGUGGCCGGCCACCCUCUCAGGUCGGCUACUGAUCGUCGCCUUGGUGGGCCGUUACCCCGCCAACCAGCUAAUCAGACGCGGGUCCAUCUCAUACCACCUCGGUUUUUCACACCGGACCAUGCAGUCCCGUGCGCUUAUGCGGUAUUAGCAGUCAUUUCUAACUGUUAUCCCCCUGUAUGAGGCAGGUUACCCACGCGUUACUCACCCGUCCGCCGCUAAGUCAAUAUGGCUUCAUUCCGAAAAAUUUCACCUUAUCGCUUCGCUCGACCUGCAUGUGUUAAGCACGCCGCCAGCGUUCAUCCUGAGCCAGGAUCAAACUCU